ensembl:rRNA 5S_rRNA 5S ribosomal RNA
GUUGACGGCCAUACCACCCUGACCGCACCCAAGCUCGUCUAAUCUCAGAAGCUGAGUAGGGUCGGGCCUGGUGAGUACUUGGGUGAGAGAACAUCCCACAUUUAGGGUGCAGGCGUCU